rnacentral:rRNA from 1 species
GUAGGUGGCAAGCGUUGUCCGGAAUUAUUGGGCGUAAAGCGCGCGCAGGCGGUCCUUUAAGUCUGAUGUGAAAGCCCACGGCUCAACCGUGGAGGGUCAUUGGAAACUGGGGGACUUGAGUACAGAAGAGGAAAGCGGAAUUCCAAGUGUAGCGGUGAAAUGCGUAGAGAUUUGGAGGAACACCAGUGGCGAAGGCGGCUUUCUGGUCUGUAACUGACGCUGAGGCGCGAAAGCGUGGGGAGCAAACAGGGAUUAGAUACCCUGGUAGUCCACGCCGUAAACGAUGAGUGCUAAGUGUUAGGGGGUUUCCCGCCCCUUAGUGCUGCAGCUAACGCAUUAAGCACUCCGCCUGGGGGAGUACGGCCGCAAGGCUG